GAUGAACGCUGGCGGCGUGCUUAACACAUGCAAGUCGAACGGAAAGGCCCAAGCUUGCUUGGGUACUCGAGUGGCGAACGGGUGAGUAACACGUGGGUGAUCUGCCCUGCACUUCGGGAUAAGCCUGGGAAACUGGGUCUAAUACCGGAUAGGACCACUUCUUGGAUGUUGUGGUGGAAAGUUUUUUCGGUGUGGGAUGAGCUCGCGGCCUAUCAGCUUGUUGGUGGGGUAAUGGCCUACCAAGGCGUCGACGGGUAGCCGGCCUGAGAGGGUGUACGGCCACAUUGGGACUGAGAUACGGUCCAGACUCCUACGGGAGGCAGCAGUGGGGAAUAUUGCACAAUGGGCGCAAGCCUGAUGCAGCGACGCCGCGUGGGGGAUGACGGCCUUCGGGUUGUAAACUCCUUUCGCUAGGGACGAAGCGUUUUGUGACGGUACCUGGAGAAGAAGCACCGGCUAACUACGUG
rnacentral:rRNA from 1 species